UACAGAGGGGGCAAGCGUUGUUCGGAAUUACUGGGCGUAAAGGGCGCGUAGGCGGCCUGCUAAGUCGAACGUGAAAUCCCCGAGCUCAACUCGGGAACUGCGUCCGAUACUGGCAGGCUUGAAUCCGGGAGAGGGAUGCGGAAUUCCAGGUGUAGCGGUGAAAUGCGUAGAUAUCUGGAGGAACACCGGUGGCGAAGGCGGCAUCCUGGACCGGCAUUGACGCUGAGGCGCGAAAGCCAAGGGAGCAAACGGG
rnacentral:rRNA from 1 species